CAGAACCAAAGGACAGGCCAUUACCCCCUGCGUUGCUGCAUCAAGUGACUGACUGAGAGAGCAAAAGUAUGCAAGAGAGACGGGAGUGAGGAGCAUGAGAAGCUGUCAGCAAAACAUCGGCAACUGGCGGUGAGACGAGCUAGGCUUGGCGCUGCUUGAUGACGUUGGGAAACCGUGACAUCAGUUCCCUGCGCGUGGACCCAGAGGCACCGAGGGGUGUGGAGCAGCAGCACACGCCCAUCCAUCUGCCCGCCCACCGCGCCAGGAAAGUCUGCUGGAUGCUGUCAGUCAGCUUGUCUGUCUUCCCCUGGGAUGCCAUACAUGCAGCCAAGCUCCGCCCCCCUCUACUGUCCUGAGCAUCAUUUGCUCUCUGCUGCACGUAUGUGACGCUGUGCGGUGCAGAGGAUCCCAGCAGCCGCCGAGAUCGCGCCUUCUCCCUGACACUCCUCAGCGGAAGACCGGGAGGCGGACACCCAGCGCCGACGAAGGACCACACAGAGCAGAGUGACACAGAGCCCACAGCUGCCACUCAGAGGUAACUGCAGUCUAUGGACUCACCCUGCCAGGCCAGCCACCAUCACGAGGCCACGCCAGCGGGAGGAUGCCGCACUUGUAAGUAGGAUCAAGUUCUUCUGUUCCUGAAAGAUAUCUUUGACCUGAAGAAGAUUCGCUAUUUGAGUGUGGAGAGCUUGUCAGAAGAUUUCAUGCAGUGUUUGACUUGUUUACCAUUGCACAUAGAUGUUUUGGGCGUAUAUUGGAGCAGGCCAGAGUGAAAAUGUGCGGAGGAGGAAUUACCAAGUCGGUGCACAUAUGAAAUUGCUGUUUAGUUCCAGUUUAACUAGCUAUGUGGCCACAUGCUGAAAUGCUGCAAGUUGCUGCUCCGGGACUCCUGGUUCUUUUUGUUCUUCUAGAGCAUGACAGCCUUAACUCUUCGAGAACCAAGGAUCAAUCCUGCAGAUGGUGAUCACAUGUAGUGCAAAUGAAGAAGGCUGACCUCUUUUUCUGUGACAAAUAUGUUUUAUGUAUUCAAGGAUAAUCAAUCUUAGCAAAAAGUAUUCUAUUUCCUGUUCUCUGCCAAUCAUCAUAAGUUUUCAAUAAUGAGUCCUGUUUUUUU